AAGCUUGCUUCUCUGCUGACGAGCGGCGGACGGGUGAGUAAAGCCUAGGAAUCUGCCUAGUAGUGGGGGAUAACUUGCCGAAAGGUAAGCUAAUACCGCGUACGUCCUACGGGAGAAAGCAGGGGCCUCUUCGGAGCCUUGCGCUAUUAGAUGAGCCUAGGUCAGAUUAGCUAGUUGGUGAGGUAAAGGCUCACCAAGGCGACGAUCUGUAACUGGUCUGAGAGGAUGAUCAGUCACACUGGAACUGAGACACGGUCCAGACUCCUACGGGAGGCAGCAGUGGGGAAUAUUGGACAAUGGGGGAAACCCUGAUCCAGCCAUGCCGCGUGUGUGAAGAAGGUCUUCGGAUUGUAAAGCACUUUAAGUUGGGAGGAAGGGCUUACGGUUAAUACCCGCUAAGUUUUGACGUUACCAACAGAAUAAGCACCGGCUAACUUCGUGCCAGCAGCCGCGGUAAUACGAAGGGUGCAAGCGUUAAUCGGAAUUACUGGGCGUAAAGCGCGG
rnacentral:rRNA from 1 species